AUGGAAGCUGCACAUUUUUUCGAAGGGACGGAGAAGCUUCUGGAGGUUUGGUUCUCCCAGCAGCAACCUGACGCGAACCAAGGAUCUGGGGAUCUUCGCACUAUCCCAAGAUCUGAGUGGGACAUACUUUUGAAGGAUGUGCAAUGUUCAAUCAUAAGUGUGACAAAAACUGACAAGCAGGAAGCUUAUGUAGUCAGUGAGAGUAGCAUGUUGUCUCCAAGAGACCUUUCAUUUUGAAGACAUGUGGUACCACCCUCUUGCUGAAAGCACUGGUUCCCCUGUUGAAGCUUGCUAGGGAUUACAGUGGGUUUGACUCAAUUCAAAGCUUCUUUAUUCUCGUAAGAAUUUCAUGAAGCCUUCUCACCAAGGUACCACACCGGAAUUUCCAGGAGAAAUAGAGUUUCUAAAUGCAAUUUUCCCAAAUGGAGCAGCAUAUUGUAUGGAAUGUAUGAAUUCUGACUGUUGGUACUUACAUACUCUGGAUUUCCCAGAGAGUUGAGUAAUCAGCCAGAUCAGACCCUGGAAAUUCUGAUGAGUGAGCUUGACCCAGCAGUUAUGGACCAGUUCUACAUGAAAGACGGGGUUACUGCAAAGGAUGUCACUCGUGAGAGUGGAAUUCGUGACCUGAUACCAGGUUCUGUCAUUGAUGCCACAUUGUUCAAUCCUUGUGGGUAUUCAAUGAAUGGAAUGAAAUCGGAUGGAACUUAUUGGACUAUUCACAUCACUCCAGAACCAGAAUUUUCUUAUGUUAGCUUUGAAACAAACUUAAGUCAGACCUCCUAUGAUGACCUGAUCAGGAAAGUUGUGGAAGUCUUCAAGCCAGGAAAAUUUGUGACGACCUUGUUUGUUAAUCAGAGUUCUAAAUGUCACACAGUGCUUGCUUCGCCCCAGAAGAUUGAAGGCUUUAAACGUCUUGAUUGCCAGAGCGCUAUGUUCAAUGAUUACAAUUUUGUUUUUACCAGUUUUGCUAAGAAGCAGCAACAACAGCAGAGUUGAUUAAGAAAGAUGAAGAAAAAACGCAAAAAGAGAACACACGUAGAAGGUGGUGGCUGCUUUCUAGAUGUUAAAACCGGGGGCCAUGCUUUUCAUAACCACCACCUUGUAGUUGCAGAAAGCCCUAGAUGUAAUGAUAGUGUAAUAAUUUUGAAUUGUAUGCAUUAUUAUAUCAAAGAGUUAGAUAUCUUGCAUGAAUGCUCUUUUCUGUGUUUAGGUAUUCUAUGCCACUCUUGCUGUGAAAUUGAAGUGCAUGUAGAAAAAAACUUUUACUAUAUGGAACUUUACAACAUUUGUGAAAACAAUUCAAUUUGGUUUAUGCACAGUGUAAUAUUUCUCCAGGUAUCAUCCAAAAUUCCCCACAGACAAGGCUUUCGUCCUCAUUAGGUAUUGGCCUCAGCCAAACCAUCUGGGACUGUUCUAUUAAACUGCUGCCAGACUUUUACAUCCAGUUACCUCCACUUUCUAGAACUAAUUCUUUACUAAUGUUAUUGGAACCAAUUUCUACUUCAUACAGAUGUUUUUUGCAACAGCAAUUAAAGUUUUUUUUCCACAAGUCGGGUCCUGUUAAGAAAAUGAUUCCAGUCACUUAUUUUGUGUAUUACUAUUUUAAAAUUAUUGGUCCAUGCAUUUGUAGUCCUAUAAUUGAUUUCUUCUCUUACCAUGGUGUCUUUCCUCAAACUCUCCAAAUAAAGCAAUACACUAUUA